rnacentral:lncRNA from 1 species
GGCCUCUGGAAUAUGCAUGAAUUUUUAAUUGACGUUUUCAAUCAGCCUUAAUUUUUGCGUCUGUUCGAAGUAGCACGUUCUUAAUUCCGACUGAAAGUGUCUUUCUAAUACAACACAGGGUACAUAUAACGUGUUCUCGUUCACAUAUGAACAUGUGUACGGAUUGAUAGUUUAGUCUUAGUUGCAUGAUAUUUUUAUUAGUUGUUAGUGGCUUUGAACUAGCUGUCAGAUAACUGCGAGUACUCUCAGAUUUGUUCAUUGUGUCUUUUUGUGUCGGGAUGUAUAAGUACCGGGCCACGUCCACUUGUAUUUUUGUCCAUCUGAUGAGUUAAGCCUUUUUCAACUGAUUUUUAUAGUUCGUUCUUAUGUUGUACUGUUAUACCACUGUCCCAGGUUAGGGGAGGUUUGGGAUCCCGCUAACAUGUUUAACCCCGCCACAUUAUUUAUGUAUGUGCCUGUCCCAAGUCAGGAGCCUGUUAUUCAGUGGUUGUCGUUUGUUUAUGUGUUACAUAUUUGUUUUUCGUUAUUUUUUUUACAUAAAUAAGGCCGUUAGUUUUCUCGUUUCAAUUGUUUUACAUUGUCUUAUCUGGGCCCUUUAUAGCUCACUAUGCGGUAUGGGCUUUGCUCAUUGUUGAAGGCCGUACGGUAACCUAUAGUUGUUAAUGUCUGUGUCAUUUUGGUCUUUUGUGGAUAGUUGUCUCAUUGGUAAUCAUACCACAUCUUCUUUUUUAUAUGAUAUUUGUCACUGGACGUUAAAUCCUAAUUCGUCAGCAUCAUCCAAU